rnacentral:rRNA from 1 species
GACGAACGCUGGCGGCGUGCUUAACACAUGCAAGUCGAGCGGUAAGGCCCUUUCGGGGGUACACGAGCGGCGAACGGGUGAGUAACACGUGGGUGACCUGCCUUUAGCUCUGGGAUAAGCCUGGGAAACUGGGUCUAAUACCGGAUAUGACCCUAUGGCGCAUGUUGUGGGGUGGAAAGCCUUGUGCGGCUAGGGAUGGGCCCGCGGCCUAUCAGCUUGUUGGUGGGGUGAUGGCCUACCAAGGCGACGACGGGUAGCCGGCCUGAGAGGGCGACCGGCCACACUGGGACUGAGACACGGCCCAGACUCCUACGGGAGGCAGCAGUGGGGAAUCUUGCGCAAUGGCGAAAGCCUGACGCAGCGACGCCGCGUGAGGGAUGACGGCCUCGGUUGUAAC